UUAGUUAGUACUAAGAUUAUUUAUCUCACUAUUUCUAUCAUAAUAAUGAAAUAAAUUAUCCUAUAUAUAUAAUUGAAUAGCUAAAUUCAAAAUUAGUUAUCUCAAAAUAACUCUAUUCCAAACAAACAAAGAAGAUGUAUCUAUUUUAGUCUGAACAGAACCAAUGGGGAAGGUCCCUAACAGGAACCGCACUUCCUAUAACUGGAUCUGGCACCUCCAUGUCCCCAACAAGAUCAAAACCUUCAUGUGGCUCUUGCACCACAACAGCCUCCCAACCAAAGUCACUCUUUCCAAGUGGGGCCUGAACAUUCCUACCAAUUGUCUCUCUUGCAACUUAGAUAAUGAGGACCAGCACCACAUUUUCUUUGGUUGCAACACUGCCAAAGCCUUUUGGCUUUACCUUAUCCAUAAAUAUAAGGGAAACCUUCAUCUUCACCUAUCAAUGUUUGACACUAACAACUGGUCUUCCACUUGAAAAACUCUUAGCAAAGAUUCCUUUGACACCAACACUUCCUAGGGCACUCUCCUACUCUUUUGCUUAUGGCACCUUUGGAAAGUUAGAAAUGCUCAUAACUUUCAAGACUCAAACUUCCCCCUAGCUUCAGCAUCCCCCAUGCGAAAGCGGUGGAGUAUCACUACCUUGGCAACCCCACAAAUCAUCACCCUGCCAAUGUCACCUGUGUGAAGUGGUUACCCCCUGCCCCUAACACCUAUAAGCUGAACACUGAUGGUUCAUGUCUUGUGACUCGGGAAAAGGGGGAAUUGGAGAGGUAUUUAGGAAUAGCAGAUGAGGCUGGGUCAGCAAGAGUUUCAUUUAUGCCACUAACAACCUUAUGGAGCUUCUUGCUCUCAAAGAGGGUCUCCAACUAGUUUUGGAUCACAACCUGCAGCCCUUAGAUGUCUCUACUAAGGAGUUUGGGGAAUCCUCCGGUCUACCACACAUAUCGGGAGCAGAAUAGAGUAGCGGAUUGGAUGACUAAGCAGAGAUCAAAGCAAAAGCUUUUGAAUAAAAUGCAUAUUUUCGUAACUCCGCCUGUUAAUGUAGGAGUAAUCUUUUGAAAGGACUUAACGAGCAAGUCCUUCCCACGAACUACAAAUUGUAAUGGGCACUUAAUACCCAGUGUUUAUCAUUUUGAGCUUGGUUAGACUAUUUCUCUUGUAAAAAACUCUUUUAUUAAUGUAAAUCUCUCCUAUUUACCAAAAAAAAAAAAAAAAAAGAACCCAUGGGGAAGUAUUUGUGGUCCUAAAAAUCAAAGAUUAAAAUGGUACCACUAUUUUUAUGGACCACGUCACAUUUGUAUAUAAACUUCCACGUGGAUAGAUCAGAAGCUUAUACUAAUCUGUGUUCACAU